UGCUCGGGUUAGAUCGUCAGGAAAAGCCUAAAGAUUAGACUGUAAGAAAAGAAAAUAGAAGCCAUGUUUCGAAGACCUGUAUUACAGCUAAUGAAAGCUGGAUUUUGAAAAUACUUGGCAGCAACUCUUAGGUACAGGUACUUCGUCAGUUUGUAAGACAUGAGUCCGAAACAACUACCAGUUUGGUUCUUGAAAGAUCCCUGAAUCGUGUGCACUUACUUGGGCGAGUGGGUCAGGACCCUGUCUUGAGACAGGUGGAAGGAAAAAAUCCAGUCACAAUAUUUUCUCUAGCAACUAAUGAGAUGUGGCGAUCAGGGGAUAGUGAAGUUUACCAACUGGGUGAUGUCAGUCAAAAGACAACAUGGCACAGAAUAUCAGUAUUCCGGCCAGGCCUCAGAGACGUGGCAUAUCAAUAUGUGAAAAAGGGGUCUCGAAUUUAUUUGGAAGGGAAAAUAGACUAUGGUGAAUACAUGGAUAAAAAUAAUGUGAGGCGACAAGCAACAACAAUCAUAGCUG
rnacentral:misc_RNA from 1 species